rnacentral:rRNA from 1 species
UGGGGAAUUUUGGACAAUGGGCGAAAGCCUGAUCCAGCAAUGCCGCGUGUGUGAAGAAGGCCUUCGGGUUGUAAAGCACUUUUGUCCGGAAAGAAAUCCUUGGCUCUAAUACAGUCGGGGGAUGACGGUACCGGAAGAAUAAGCACCGGCUAACUACGUGCCAGCAGCCGCGGUAAUACGUAGGGUGCAAGCGUUAAUCGGAAUUACUGGGCGUAAAGCGUGCGCAGGCGGUUUGCUAAGACCGAUGUGAAAUCCCCGGGCUCAACCUGGGAACUGCAUUGGUGACUGGCAGGCUAGAGUAUGGCAGAGGGGGGUAGAAUUCCACGUGUAGCAGUGAAAUGCGUAGAGAUGUGGAGGAAUACCGAUGGCGAAGGCAGCCCCCUGGGCCAAUACUGACGCUCAUGCACGAAAGCGUGGGGAGCAAACAGGAUUAGAUACCCUGGUAGUCCACGCCCUAAACGAUGUCAACUAGUUGUUGGGGAUUCAUUUCCUUAGUAACGUAGCUAACGCGUGAAGUUGACCGCCUGGGGAGUACGGUCGCAAGAUUAAAACUCAAAUGAAUUGACGGGGUCAUAGCUU